rnacentral:rRNA from 1 species
AUGCUGCAACCCCACCUCUCCGGCGAGCGACCUGCGCUUCUUAGCGGUGAGCCGCCGGUGACCAUGGGGAAGACACCAAGCUUGGAGUCGAAGGCCGCAAAGAGGAGGCGAUCUGGUCCCACUGACUCGCCGGCAUCCGCCACUGCCCAGACACGGGCACACAAGUGCACAGAGCCACCACGCUCCAGAGAAGUUGCUGUAGUGCCUACGCCUGCAGAAGCAGAUAAUCGUGAUUAUGAGUAUGAAGAGUAUGAGUUUGAUAUGGAUGAUGACAUGUCUGAGGAAAUCUUACUCCACAUGUGA